UACAGAGGUCCCAAGCGUUGUUCGGAUUUACUGGGCGUAAAGGGUGCGUAGGUGGUCGGGUAAGUCUGAUGUGAAAGCUCGGAGCUUAACUCCGAAACGGCAUCGGAUACUAUUCGGCUCGAGGGUUGGAGGGGGGACUGGAAUUCUCGGUGUAGCAGUGAAAUGCGUAGAUAUCGAGAGGAACACCAGUGGCGAAGGCGAGUCCCUGGACAACUCCUGACGCUGAGGCACGAAAGCUAGGGGAGCAAACAGG
rnacentral:rRNA from 1 species